rnacentral:rRNA from 1 species
AGUGAACGCUGGCGGCAGGCCUAAUACAUGCGAGUCGAACGGCAGCACAGUGGAGCUUGCUCCAUGGGUGGCGAGUGGCGGACGGGUGAGGAAUACAUGGGAAUCUGCCCAGUCGUGGGGGAUAACGUAGGGAAACUUACGCUAAUACCGCAUGCGCCCUUCGGGGGAAAGCCGGGGACCUUCGGGCCUGGCGCGAUUGGAUGAGCCCAUGUUCGAUUAGCUAGUUGGCGGGGUAAAGGCCCACCAAGGCGACGAUCGAUAGCUGGUCUGAGAGGAUGAUCAGCCACACUGGGACUGAGACACGGCCCAGACUCCUACGGGAGGCAGCAGUAGGGAAUAUUGGACAAUGGGCGCAAGCCUGAUCCAGCCAUGCCGCGUGAGUGAAGAAGGCCCUCGGGUUGUAAAGCUCUUUUGUCCGGGAAGAAAAGCAUCGGGCUAAUACCUCGGUGUUCUGACGGUACCGGAAGAAUAAGCACCGGCUAACUUCGUG